rnacentral:rRNA from 1 species
UUAGCAUGGAAUAAUAAAAUAGGACGUGUGGUUCUAUUUUGUUGGUUUCUAGGACCGCCGUAAUGAUUAAUAGGGACAGUCGGGGGCAUCAGUAUUCAAUUGUCAGAGGUGAAAUUCUUGGAUUUAUUGAAGACUAACUACUGCGAAAGCAUUUGCCAAGGAUGUUUUCAUUAAUCAGGAACGAAGGUUAGGGGAUCGAAGACGAUCAGAUACCGUCGUAGUCUUAACCAUAAACUAUGCCGACUAGGGAUCGGACGAUGUUAAAAAUUGACUCGUUCGGCACCUUACGAGAAAUCAAAGUGCUUGGGCUCCAGGGGGAGUAUGGUCGCAAGGCUGAAACUUAAAGAAAUUGACGGAAGGGCACCACCAGGGGUGGAGCCUGCGGCUUAAUUUGACUCAACACGGGGAAACUCACCAGGUCCAGACACAAUGAGGAUUGACAGAUUGAGAGCUCUUUCUUGAUUUUGUGGGUGGUGGUGCAUGGCCGUUCUUAGUUGGUGGAGUGAUUUGUCUGCUUAAUUGCGAUAACGAACGAGACCUUAACCUGCUAACUAGCCCGUAUUGCUUUGGCAGUACGCUGGCUUCUUAGAGGGACUAUCGGCUCAAGCCGAUGGAAGUUUGAGGCAAUAACAGGUCUGUGAUGCCCUUAGAUGUUCUGGGCCCCACGCGCGCUACACUGACGGAGCCAGCGAGUACUCCCUUGGCCGAAAGGCCUGGGUAAUCUUGUUAAACUCCGUCGUGCUGGGGAUAGAGCAUUGCAAU